rnacentral:rRNA from 1 species
AUUGAACGCUGGCGGCAUGCCUUACACAUGCAAGUCGAACGGCAGCACGGGAGCAAUCCUGGUGGCGAGUGGCGAACGGGUGAGUAAAGUAUCGGAACGUGCCCAGUCGUGGGGGAUAACGUAGCGAAAGUUACGCUAAUACCGCAUACGAUCUAUGGAUGAAAGCGGGGGAUCGCAAGACCUCGCGCGAUUGGAGCGGCCGAUAGCAGAUUAGGUAGUUGGUGGGGUAAAGGCUCACCAAGCCGACGAUCUGUAGCUGGUCUGAGAGGACGACCAGCCACAGUGGGACUGAGACACGGCCCAGACUCCUACGGGAGGCAGCAGUGGGGAAUUUUGGACAAUGGGCGAAAGCCUGAUCCAGCCAUGCCGCGUGCAGGAUGAAGGCCUUCGGGUUGUAAACUGCUUUUGUACGGAACGAAAAGGUUUGGCCUAAUAAGCUGAGCUCAUGACGGUACCGUAAGAAUAAGCACCGGCUAACUACGUGCCAGCCGCCGCGGUAA